rnacentral:rRNA from 1 species
UACGGGGGGUGCAAGCGUUGUUCGGAAUCAUUGGGCGUAAAGCGCGUGUAGGCGGCUUGACAAGUCAGAUGUGAAAUCCCUGGGCUUAACCCAGGAAGUGCAUUUGAAACUGUCUGGCUGGAGUAAGGGAGAGGAAAGUGGAAUUCCUGGUGUAGAGGUGAAAUUCGUAGAUAUCAGGAGGAACACCGGUGGCGAAGGCGACUUUCUGGCCCUAUUCUGACGCUGAGACGCGAAAGCGUGGGUAGCAAACAGGAUUAGAUACCCUGGUAGUCCACGCUGUAAACGAUGUUCACUAGGUGUUGGGGGUAUUGACCCUUUCAGUGCCGCAGCUAACGCAUUAAGUGAACCGCCUGGGGAGUACGGUCGCAAGAUUAAAACUCAAAG